ensembl:rRNA 5S_rRNA 5S ribosomal RNA
GUCUACAGCCAUACCGCCCUGAAUGCACCUGAUUUCAGAAGCUAAGCAGAGGUCAAGGCUGUUUCGUCCUGGAAUGGGAGACCACCUUGGAAUACCGGAUGCCCUAGGCU